GAGGGUAUAGCUUAGUGGUAGAGUGCGUGCUUAGCACAGAUGAGGUCCUGGGUUCAAUCUCCAGUACAUCCA
rfam:Camelus ferus unplaced genomic scaffold scaffold850, whole genome shotgun sequence.